AUAUGCCUACAACAUAGCGUUAAUGUGUCAGAUCCCAUUAGAACUCCACAGUUAAUCAUGUUCAGGCUAGAGUAGUAUUGGGAUGGGUGACCGCCUGGGAAGUCCUACUGUUUUACAUGCC
rnacentral:rRNA from 1 species